rnacentral:rRNA from 1 species
ACGGAAGGCAGCAGUGGGGGAUAUUGCACAAUGGGGGAAACCCUGAUGCAGCGACGCCGCGUGAGUGAAGAAGUAUUUCGGUAUGUAAAGCUCUAUCAGCAGGAAAGAUAAUGACGGUACCUGACUAAGAAGCACCGGCUAAAUACGUGCCAGCAGCCGCGGUAAUACGUAUGGUGCAAGCGUUAUCCGGAUUUACUGGGUGUAAAGGGAGCGUAGACGGAAUUGCAAGUCCGAUGUGAAAUUCCGGGGCUUAACCCCGUACCUGCAUUGGAAACUGUAAUUCUGGAGUGCCGGAGAGGUAAGCGGAAUUCCUAGUGUAGCGGUGAAAUGCGUAGAUAUUAGGAGGAACACCAGUGGCGAAGGCGGCUUACUGGACGGUAACUGACGUUGAGGCUCGAAAGCGUGGGGAGCAAACAGGAUUAGAUACCCUGGUA